AAGCAUAUCAAUAAGCGGAGGAAAAGAAACUAACAAGGAUUCCCCUAGUAACUGCGAGUGAAGAGGGAAAAGCUCAAAUUUAAAAUCUGACAGUCUUUGGCUGUCCGAGUUGUAAAUUAGAGAAGUGUUAUCCGCUCAAGCCUGUGCAAAAGUCUCUUGGAAAAGGGCAUCAUAGAGGGUGACAAUCCCGUCUUUGGCACAGAUCACUUGCGCUUUUGUGAUACACUCUCGAUGAGUCGAGUUGUUUGGGAAUGCAGCUCCAAAUGGGUGGUAAAUUCCAUCUAAAGCUAAAUAUGGGCGAGAAACCGAUAGCGCACAAGUACCGUGAGGGAAAGAUGAAAAGAACUUUGAAAAGAGAGUUAAACAGUACGUGAAAUUGUUGAAAGGGAAACGCUUGAAGUCAGUCGUAUCCUUCAGAAUCAACCUGACUUUUGGUUGGGUAUACUUUUUGUUGGAUGGGUCAGCAUCAAUUUUGAUCAUUGGAUAAAGGAUUUGGGAAUGUGGCAUCUUUAGAUGUGUUAUAGCCCUUGUUUGUAUACAAUGAUUGGGAUUGAGGAACUCAGUGUGACUUUGGUCUGGGGGUAUUACCUCACACACGCACUUAGGAUGCUGGCAUAAUGGCUUUAAUCGACCCGUCUUGAAACACGGACCAAGGAGUCUAACAUACAUGCAAGUGUUUGGGUGGAAAACUCAAGCGCGUAAUGAAAGUGAAAGUUGAGAACCCUGUCGUGGGGUGCACUGACGCCCGGUCUUGACCUUUUGUGACGGACCUGCGGUAGAGCAUGUAUGUUGGGACCCGAAAGAUGGUGAACUAUGCCUGAAUAGGGUGAAGCCAGAGGAAACUCUGGUGGAAGCUCGUAGCGAUUCUGACGUGCAAAUCGAUCGUCAAAUUUGGGUAUAGGGGCGAAAGACUAAUCGAACCAUCUAGUAGCUGGUUCCCGCC
rnacentral:rRNA from 2 species